rnacentral:rRNA from 1 species
UACGGGGGGGCAAGCGUUGUUCGGAAUUCCUGGGCGUAAAGGGCGCGUAGGCGGCCCGCUAAGUCGAACGUGAAAUCCCCGAGCUCAACUCGGGAACUGCGUCCGAUACUGGUGGGCUUGAAUCCGGGAGAGGGAUGCGGAAUUCCAGGUGUAGCGGUGAAAUGCGUAGAUAUCUGGAGGAACACCGGUGGCGAAGGCGGCAUCCUGGACCGGCAUUGACGCUGAGGCGCGAAAGCUAGGGGAGCAAACGGG